rnacentral:rRNA from 1 species
UACGUAGGGGGCAAGCGUUGUUCGGAUUCAUUGGGCGUAAAGGGUGCGUAGGCGGCGCGGUAAGUCGGGUGUGAAAUCUCGGAGCUUAACUCCGAAACUGCAUUCGAUACUGCCGUGCUUGAGGACUGGAGAGGAGACUGGAAUUUACGGUGUAGCGGUGAAAUGCGUAGAUAUCGUAAGGAAGACCAGUGGCGAAGGCGGGUCUCUGGACAGUUCCUGACGCUGAGGCACGAAGGCCAGGGGAGCAAACGGG